AUUUAUAUCCACAAACCAAAAAUGAAAUGACUAAUUACACUGAAAAAACUUAUAAUUAACAAACAACAAGUUAAGUCACAAAUUAAAUUCAAGAAAAUACAUAUCAUGACUUAGAUGGGAGAAUCACAAAAGAGGGUGAGGGUCAAGCAUUAAAGAGUUUUCAAUAACAUAAAAAGAGGAAAAUGAUAUAUACGUUAAUAAAUUUCAUGAUAAAAUUGGAUUGCGACUACGUAGAAUUUUAAGCAAUAAAACAGAUAUAUUUAACUACCAGAGCACCAGGGCAAGCAAUCAGAAACAAAAUGCAGAAUUAAAAAAAAAAUCCGCAUCAAGAAGAGGAUUUGGUGUUGUGUCUAGAACUAAGGAUAGAUUUCGCAUUGAGG
rnacentral:lncRNA from 1 species